CAAUUGGCCCUUUUCAGGGCCAAAAUAUGUGUACUAAAUAGUAAAUU
rfam:Aedes aegypti strain Liverpool supercont1.88 genomic scaffold, whole genome shotgun sequence.